rnacentral:lncRNA from 1 species
UCCAUAGGGAGAGCCGAGAAAAACCGAGCCUAAAAAUAGACUGAGUGGCAUUAAUGGGCGGUGGGGGAUGGGCUCUGGGAAAGGGAGAAGCUGAUUAUCUUCUAGCUGUUCCUGAGCUUGGAGGGUGCCUGCUCUCUGUUAGCUUGGAGGAAGUGCUGCCUGCCUGUCGUCCUCUGCAGUGCUGUGCCUAUAGCCAGGCUAGUGUGCCCACUCACCAGCAGGAGCAGGGGCGGGGUAAAGGGUUACACUUGCUGUCCACAUCUCAUUAUAGAACCAAUGUGGAGCCUCGGUGUGGAUUUUGGGACUAC